UGUUAAAAGUUUCAUCCAUUUGUAUUGUUAAAAUCUAAUGUGGCUGAAGGAAUAAUCAAAUAGUGACACUCAACAUGCCACGUGUACCUCAUGUUGAUAUAUAGGGACUAAUUUUUAAUAGUAGAAAUAGACGAAAUUUUUAAUA
rfam:Gossypium arboreum cultivar AKA8401 contig_10765_1, whole genome shotgun sequence.